rnacentral:tRNA from 1 species
GGUACCAUGGCCGAGUGGUUAGGCGACGGUCUGCAAAACCGUUUACGGCGGUUCAAUUCCGCCUGGUACCU